GCCCGUCUAGCUCAGUUGGUAGAGCGCAAGGUUCUUAACCUUGUCGUCGUGGGUUUUGAGCCCCAUACUGGGUG
rnacentral:tRNA from 1 species